rnacentral:rRNA from 1 species
AUGGCGCACCGCUGGCUGCUGCUGCUGCUGCUGCCGUUCCAGAUUCAGCUGCUCCUGCCCUGCGCCGCUAGCGCUGACGCUGCCACGCCGCCGGUGAUCACCACGAACGCCGUCACGAACCUGCCCGGGUUCAGCGGCCCCCUGCCUUUCUCCCUCGAAACAGGGUACGUGGAGCUGGACGACCACGGCGUCCGCUUCUUCUACUACUUCAUCCAAUCGGAGCGCAGCCCGGAGGACGACCCCGUGCUGCUCUGGUUGACGGGCGGGCCCGGCUGCUCCGCCCUCUCCGGCCUCGUCUACGAGGUCGGACCUCUGGCUUUCGACUUCGAUGGCUACCGAGGAGGGUUGCCUAGCCUGCUAUACACAGCAGACUCUUGGACUCAGGUUAGCAACAUCAUCUUCGUGGAUUCUCCAGCAGGGACUGGCUUCACCUACGACCCCACGGACAACAAAAUGACGCCCAGUGACACCAUCAUUGUUCGCCAGCUGCACACUUUCCUUGAAACGUGGUUUGAUGAACACACAAUGUUCUUGUCAAACCCUCUCUAUAUUGCCGGCGAUUCGUACAGCGGCAUGGUCAUACCUUCUCUCACUAUAGAAAUUGCUAAAGGUAUAGAAUCCGGUGACCAGCGGCUUCUUAACCUCAAGGGUUACAUUGCUGGCAAUCCGGUGACUGAUUUGGCACGGUUUGACGGCAAUUCUAAAUUCCCAUAUCUUCAUAGGAUGGGAUUUAUACCAGAUGAACUCUACAAGGUUGCUUCGGAGAGUUGUGGGGGGAAAUACACCAGCCCGUCGAAUGCUCUAUGUGCCAAGUCCGUCCAAUCAAUCUAUUACAAUGCCACUUAUGUUCUUGCCGACUUAUGGGCAAACGACGUACAUGUGAGGGAGAGUUUGGGUAUUCACCAGGGAACCGUUCCAUCAUGGAGAAGACAUGCUCAUUUCCCUUACAUACAAGACAUCGACAGUACAGUGGGGUACCAUUUAAGCUUGAUUACCAAAGGAUAUAGAGCCAUGAUAUGCAACACCCAUAUUGUGAAAUUUUCAUCGACAUGGCGUGCAAGAAGUUCAACCCACCAUCACCCUCCGAACUUUCCAUCCAUUGUCUUCCAUAUUGCCUCCCAUCGGCCGCUAAUCUCCCUCUCAUCCUCUUGUGCACCUUCCCGCCUACCCCCAUUGGCUCGCCGUGUCGUUACCAUCAACCCUAGGAGGAACCCCGUUGCUCGGACCUCCAUCAUGGCAGGGAGAGGACGCCAAGCACAAAUGCCACCCUAUCUCUCCCGAACUUCUUCUCAUCGCACUCUCGUGAUUGCUGGAACCUCACUGUUGUGCCCGCCUACAACCUCUCAGACCCCUUUCACAGAAAAAUCAUGCCAUGAAGCAAAACUCACCGACAGUUGGAGGAAUAGGAUAUCAUUGUCGUAG